rnacentral:tRNA from 1 species
GGGGUUGUGGCUCAGCGGUAGAGCGCUCAACCUCACACGUGCAAGGCCCUGGGUUCGAUCCUCAGCACCACA